UUUUUUAUGCCCCACCUACGAUAGUAGAGGGGCAUUAUGUUUUCUGGUCUGUGCGUCCGUUCGUCCGUUCGUUCGUCCGUUCGUUCGUCCGUCUGUCCCGCUUCAGGUUAAAGUUUUUGGUCGAGGUAGUUUUUGAUGAAGUUGAAGUCCAAUCGACUUCAAACUUGGUACACAUGUUCCCUAUGAUAUGAUCUUUCUAAUUUUAAUGCCAAAUUAGAGAUUUUACCCCAAUUUUACGGUUCACUGAUAGAAAAUGAUAGUGCAAAUUUCAGGUUAAAGUUUUUGGCUUCAGGUUAAAGUUUUUGGUCAAGGUAGUUUUUGAUGAAGUUGAAGUCCAAUCAACUUGAAACUUAGUAUACAUGUGCCCUAUGAUAUGAUCUUUCUAAUUUAAAUGCCAAAUUAGAGUUUUGACCCCAAUUUUACGGUUCACUGAACAUAGAAAAUGAUAGUGCAAAUUUCAGGUUAAAGUUUUUGGCUUCAGGUUAAAGUUUUUGGUCAAGGUAGUUUUUGAUGAAGUUGAAGUCCAAUCAACUUGAAACUUAGUAUACAUGUGCCCUAUGAUAUGAUCUUUCUAAUUUAAAUGCCAAAUUAGAGUUUUGACCCCA
rnacentral:lncRNA from 1 species